rnacentral:rRNA from 1 species
AUGGCGGCUGUCGUGAACCAACCUAUUUCGGUAGCCGUGGAUGGUGGUGACAUGAUUUUCCAAUUUUACAAAGGUGGAGUGAUGAAUGGUUCUUGUGGCACUGACCUAGACCAUGGCAUUGCAACUAUUGGCUACGGAAAGACGAGUGAUGGCACAAAAUAUUGGUUGUUGAAGAAUUCGUGGGGAACAACAUGGGGAGAGAAUGGGUAUUUAAGAAUGAAGAAGGACAUUUCUGACAAGAGAGGCAUGUGUGGUCUUGCCAUGGAGCCUUCCUACCCUACUGCAUAG